rnacentral:lncRNA from 1 species
AUGAAUUUUAUUAGAUUUAUAUCUGUACAACGAUCAUCACAACACGAUUGUACAGCAUUUCUAUCCCAAACCCCCAGCGCACCCCUCCACCCCCCAACCUGUCUCAUUUGGAGACCAUAAGUUUUUCAAAGUCUGUGAGUCAGUAUCUGCUCUGCAAAGAAGGUCAUUCUGUCCUUUUUUUUAAUUUCACAAGUGAUAGCAUAUGAUGUUGGUAUCUCACUGUCUUGACUGACUUCACUUAGCAUGACAAUCUCCAGGUCCAGCCAUGUUGCUGCAAAUGCCAUUAUUUCCUUUUAAUGGCUGAGUAAUAUUCCAUUGUGUAUAUGUACCACAUCUUCUUGAUCCACUCCUCUGUUGAUGGACAUUUAGGUUGUUUCCAUGUCUUGGCUACUGUAUAUAGUACUGCAGUGAACUCUGGAGCACAUCUAUAUUUUCAAGUCAUGGUUUUCUCUGGAGAGAUGCCCAGGAGAUUGUGUGACCAUUUAAAAAAAAAAAAAAAAAAGAGUGCUAUUGGAUAUAUUCAAGCAUUUGUAAAUUCACUGAUCACAGAAUCCUUUCCAACUCUGAUAUUGUAGCUUUCUGAUAGAAGGCAUAGCCCAAAAGACUGCACAUAUUUUUUUCGGAAUGUCGUUCAGUGAUAAAGCAAGAUGUGGACCUGGUUCACACUGAGAGGUGCAUGAAGGAUACACGUUAAUACGACGCAUCCCAAGAGAGGCCCCGGGUGAAGCAAGGCUCUAAAUUAAGGACUCGCACGUGGUCUGCCUGCACCAUGUGGCCCUGGGCAGGUGGUGAGAGAGGCUACGCAGAGGCCUUUCUGUCUGCCCUGUCCGUCACCGCUCACACUGUGCACACCCAGAGCUCCACAGAUGGAAACGUGAUCUGCAGCAGAUGCGGCCGAACAGGGAGCGCUGUCCCCUUGAGGGCCCUUGGUCAGGGUCCUCAGCAGCAGGGCCAUGGCAUGAUGUGUUGUAACCUGAUGUGAGGUGUGUGCUCACAGCUCUUGCUAAUUAAAGAACUGAGGCUUCCCGGGGAUGGAAAGUUCCCUACCUUGCGCCAACUCAUUUAUUUCCAGCUGUUGAUUUUUCGAAAGAUCUUUCUCAUAUAUACUCAACUGAGCCAAAAUCUGUUCCCCUUUAAAAUGUUUACCGGUUUCAGUUCCUUGUAUGGCCAUUAAAUACAAAAUUCUCCUUUUUCUACAUACCAGACCUUCGGGUACCUGAGAACUGCCAUUAGAUGCCCGCUCAGUCUUGUCUUCUCUGGGCUCAACCUCCUCAGUUCUUCACCCGUUUCUCAUGUGUCAUGUUUUCCAGGUGUUCACCAUCCUAGUUACUCUUUGGAACGCCUCCCAAGCAGUCAAACGCCUCUGAAAGGGUGCUGCCCAGAAGAGGCCCUGAUUAUAGCCAGGGGAAGGACAAAGUGAAAUCAUUUCCUUGUUUUUCUUACUCCUUUCUUGUAAACAGUGGGGCCUAAAAUUGGCACACCGGAGAUCCCUUUCUUUGGCCUGUCAAACAUGCCUUUCCACUUUUUUGGGUAAAAACGCCCCGACUUUCCGUGAGGGAAUUGCUCUUCACUGAUUCUGAGACGUUCUGAGGGCAUCUCAGUCAAGGUUCCCCCUGCCCCUCCUCCUGGAGAAUCGUGGCACAGAGAACCCAGUUUAGGCCAUUUAGACUCUGGGUGCUCGGGUUUUGAGCUUUGGGGAAAAUGAUGUAACAUAAGCCACGAGAGUGGAGACGUUCUGAUGGGGUUGGGGGGAGACACAGGAUCUGUCCAUUCAUUCCUGCUAGUGGCCCAACCCUCUUCUUCCUGAGGCUUGGUCCUUCAGCAUCCAACAGCUCUUCGUGCCUUUUCAGCCAAGUCUUCCACACUGAGAGUCCCCUUCCAUCGCCUGCAACUAAGGAACCUAACACAUCAGAUCACCCUGUCUGCCCCAAUCCCAACAGGGGCACUUUGUGGGCCAGACUCCUGAACAUACUUCACAGGUUAUGACCGGUUUCUGCUCACACUUCUGACACCAAAUGUGUGGGGGAUGCUAUCUGUACUUCUUACCUGACCAGCUAUGAAGUGAAGAGGUUCCCACAACUCCCUCUUCAGAUUCAAUCAUCUGUCAGAACUCAGGGAAAUACUUGACUUACUAGUACCAGUUUAUUACAAAUGAAGAGUCAAAUGGAAGAGAUGCCUGGGGCAAGGGAUCAGGGGAGGGGUAGGUGGGGCUUCCAUGCCCCCUCUGGGCACAUCACCCUCCCAGAACCCUCAGCGUGUUCACCAACCCAGAAGCUCUCUAAACUCCAUCAUUUAGGGGUUCUGAUGAAACUUUCAUUACAUAAGUAUAACUGAUCAAAUCAUUGGCUAUUUGGUGAUUAAUUCAGACUCCAGCCCCUCUCCCCUCCCAAAAGGCCAGAAGGUGGGGCUGAAAAUUCCAACAUCUAAUCACAGAGUUGGUUCCUCUGGCAAACAGCCCCCAUCCUGAAGCUCUCAAGCCACCACCACUCCAAACAAAAGUAACUUCACUACUGUAAAAACAAACAAACAAACAACAACAACAACAGCAACAAAAAAACAGGUUUGGUCGAAAGGGGCUUAUUAUGAAUAACACAAGAAGCUCCUCUCAGACUUACUACUCAGGAAAUUCCCAGGGCUUCGGAAGCUCUUGUGCUGGGAAUGAGGAAUGAAGACCUAACGCAGAUUUCUUAGAUCACAGGAACACACAGGUGCUGCCAUUAAAUGACACAUCCCGUGAGUUCCUGUGGGGGCGCAGCAGAAACGAAUCCGACUAGGAACCAUGAGGUUGCGGGUUCGAUCCCUGGCUUUGCUCAGUGGGUUGGGGAUCCAGUGUGGCCGUGAGCUGUGGUGUAGGUCGCAGAUGUGGCUUGGAUCCCGCGUUGCUGUGGCUCUGGCGUAGGCUGGUGGCUACAGUUCCGAUUAGACCCCUAGCCUGGGAACCUCCAUAUGCCACGGGAGCGGCCCUAGAAAAGGCAAAGAGACAAAAAAUAAAUAGAUACCGUUUAAAAAAAGAAAAAUAAAAAUGACAUGUCCCCAAGUUCAGUACUGGGAAAGGUGACUUGGGACAAAAACACCAUUUUGAGGAUCAUGAGUCUCUCUUGCUUGCUCUCCUCUAUCCAUUAGCGAUAACUGGCUACCUUACGAAUGAGACCCAUUCAAGCCAUCAGCAAAAAUGUUAAGCAACUAAUGAUAGCUUGUGCAUCGGCUGCUUACUUACUCCGUGCCUCCCCUCAAGGCAAGAAAAUCAGUGUUCUCAGAGGUUUCCCCACUGGCCAAUGAGCAACGGGAUGGACCUGAGCUUUAAACCCAAGUCAGAAAGUCCUAAAGCCAGGGAGAAAUGAAGGAUUCUCUUGGGACUCACAGCCCAUAGCUGAACUGGGGAGAAGCUGUAUCUUCUACUAUUUUGGAAGACCUGAAAGAAAAGGGUGAAAGACAUACACAGAGCCUGCUUUAGGAUGCAAAGGCCUGGCUCAGACUGCACAUGCCAAGUGACAGUGGUACAGCUAGAAGAGGCGGGCACUGAGUGCAGAGGUGGAGGCUUGAGGCAUCAGAUUUCCAGUGACACUGAGACCUGGUUCGGGAGGAGGCUCCUCCUGCCUAGGCUUGCUCCACACCUGGAGCACUGGACCGCGUGCCUGUGACAGUGUCCAGUGUCGGGUGGAGCCCUCUUUCCACCUGGAUUCAGAGGUCACAAGAAAGACACUCCCGCUUCCUCACCAUGCCUCCUCUCCCCAGCUCCUCUCCCCAGCUCCCCGCCUUGUUCCAAGAGGGACAGCUCUUGGAACAGGGAAUUAACAACGUAAGAGAUCUGACACGACCCAAGAAAAGGCACAUAUUGUGGGAAAACCUAAGUUAUACUAAGGUAGACGCCACUGUUGCUUUUACUCCAGUUUUUUUCUUUUCACCCAGAUUUGGUAAAGAUCCUAAUUUUAUAACCUUGGUCAUUGGAGACCCCACUGGUUCCCGUCACUUUAAACAGCCUUUUAUAGUCACAGCAUCUCAAGUACAUUUCCUCUUCUUUUUCAGCAUAUCACAGUUCUUGGCAGAAAUCUCUAGCAGAAAGCACCAAAAUUUUUAUAAUGAGGAUAAAAUAAAAAUUUCACACAUCAGAUUUCUCUUGUAGACUAUUUCUUCCUGUUCAAUCUUGCCCUGCUUUUAUUUUAGUGGCUAACAAUCUAAAAUUUGCUAUCAGCGUUGUUUGUUCCUGGUAUAGGAUUUUGCUGCCAAAGGGCAUACGUUCUCUGCUCUGACUUUAAAGUUCCCAAGUGGAAAGACUCUGCCUGUGUCGUGGUCAGGAGCCCGGCUUUUCCAUUUUAAGAUGUGUGCUAUGCUCUUGCUUCCACUGCAAAGGUUGUUUGUGCCUGCUGUUAGGAGCAAAGAUCAAGUUCAAACCCCCGGUACCAACAAGACACGUUGAAGAAUCUUCUACUUCAUGACCAGACUGGGCCAGGAGGCGCAAGUGACCUUUGCCACUUCCAGCCGAGUCACAUGGCCCCCAAACAUUUUGCUUUUUCCCCUGAAAGUGCUUUCCUGUCUCUGCUCAGUGACUAACUCCAUCACGAAUGUGACCCAGUUUGUUUGGCAAGAUGUGAUUUUUUUUUAACUCUCGCUGCUUUUCCUGGUCACGACUCUCUCGCAGGCAUUUAGCGACUCCCUCCUGGCAUCCGGCUGGCCCUGCUGCCAAGCUGGAUUGACGGCUUUCUCCCCAGCUGUUCCCUUCCAGCCCUCUCUCCACUCCCCGGCAAAGCCAUAUUCCAUUUGCUUUUCUGCAGCGUUUUGAUACCUCCAGAGUCUCCUUAAAAUAGACAGAUAAACACUAAUCUCCAAGGAAGUAGCGAGGCAGCGUCCACAGGUUUGUACGAGCUCAGUGAUCUGCUCAGAGGGAGGCUGGAUGGCAAACAUAACCUGGGAGUCCCCGUGUGUGAGUCUUGCCAUCAUUUCCAAAGUGCUCUGGACCCACGAGGUCUCAUUUAAUACCCACGACCACGCACAGCCCAGCGUUUUACAGGUAGGAAAGCAAGGCUCCAGAGGCGAAGAGCCCGUCUACACAGAGAGUGAGAGAGAGGCCAGGAACUGAACGUGCCCUUUUAAAAACGGCGCUUUUUACAUUCAAUAAAACGCCUAGAUCUUCAGUGCCAUGCGAGGAAUUCUGACACGUGCACACUUGUGUGAAGCAUACAGACCAUCUCCGUCACCCACAAACUCCGCGCCCCCCCCCNCCCCCCCCCCAGCAUCCUCCCCCGCCACGCCCCUUCCCAGGAAAGCCCGCACCGCUCUCUGGCUUCUACAGCCUAGAUUAAUCUGCCUUGAACGUGGCUCCUGACUCCUCAGUCCACGUUCAGUCCCUUUUCUGUUACACAGACCAGGUCUGUGAAAUGAACUCAGUGGCACCCACCAGGCUGCACUCUGCAGCCAGAGGACUUUAGAAAGCCAGGCCACAGUCCUUCGCCGAAACACCAGGUCAGCUGGUGGAGUGGACCUUGCGGCCUGCAGUCUGGGGCAAUGUAGGGAGCAGAGUCCCAAAGCCACCCAGAGACCCUCUCUCUGCAGUCCACUCCCUGCUCUUGGCCUCGACAGCACAUCUCCGUACAGGGGGUCACUGGAGGGAAGUCGCUAUGAGGUUUAAAAGAGAGAGGUCCGAAUUCAGCUUGGAGACUCCGGCCCACACUUGCAGGCCCGCCCCAUCCCUGAGCUGCCACCACGGUUUCUAGGGCCUCCAGGGACAGGCCACACUCUGACUGUUUACGCUGGACGCAUGGACUUUUCAUGAACAUCAGGUGUGUGUCAUCUGUCAACUGGGAGUUUUACAACUGGAGGCCUCCACUUUAGGGGAAAAAAAGGAGAGAAAAGAAAUAAUAAAAGCCCAUUCGACUAGUUCCAAGGAUAGACAGUAAAUGGAACUAACGGAUUAGUCACCUGAGGCCAAAUCCCUCUCAGGCUGUCCUGAACCAAGGGACACAUGAUACAGUUAACCUGAUCUGCUUACCUGCCCACAGUUUGAUGCUGAAAUCUUGUUCACGUAGCAGGUUAACUGGUUCCUCUUGGAUCGGUUUAUACACAGCAGCGGGCUGGUCAAUGUUAAGCAGAGAUUUUCUGGGAAGGGAAAAGAGCCCAGGUUGGUAGCACUUGCCGGCUUCGGCCUGGGGUUGGGAGGCCGCCUGUGUGACCGGCUCUAGUCCCUCCGACCCACAAGGAUGCCUUCCACUGGUCAAACACGCCAUUUCCUUUGUAGGCAGCAUGGGCAGGGGUGGCAGGGGUCAGCCGCCACCCAGCACACCAACGACCUCGAGGG